AAACCGUUCGAACAGGGAUCUUUAUAGCUAACUUGAUAGAUUGUUCUAGUAUUAUCCAAUAUUUGUUUCUGCACAAGUUUUUCUGCAGCCUCAUCAAAUUUAGUUGGUAUAGAAGCCAAACAUGGAUCAAUCUGCCAAUCCUCUUCUAUACGAUCAGCAAAACAAUCAGAAUGAACGAAUCUAAUUCCAUCGGUAACAUAGAUAUUUUAUUAUAAUUAAUUUCUUAAUAAUAUUAUUCUAUUAGAAAAUAUGUAAAAUAUUUACGAAUGUCUCAAUGCUUGUGAUUUUUUUUUGAAUUGAUGUCUGUAUUCAGUGUUAAAUAUUCUACAUGAAUCUGUCAUAUUUUUUCAUGUUUCCUAUAUCUUCGUUUAGGUAUAAUAGAAAUUUAUUUGAGGUUAGUUCUUAUAUUUUUUUGUUAUUAGCAAAAGAUAAUCAUGUUUUGUUUGUUUAAGAUCAAAAUUGACGUUUGAAAAGUCACGUGAUUAGGCGGAACGUCGUAAUGCCAUCUAGCGUUAUUUAUGCUACACUAACAUGUAUUAAUUGUAUUAAUUAAUUAUUUUCUUACAAAUUGUGGGUCUCCAUGAGCAGCAACCUCCUUGUGGUGAGACCUGGUAAUUGAUAUUACUUGCGUUAUAGAAUUUUAUAUAUUUGUAACUAUUAACGCAAGUACUGUCAAGCUAAUGGCUGCUACUUUUUUUUUUUUUUAGUGUGAACAUUUGACAGAUAUAGACAAAUAUAUGUUCUUUCUUUCGAUUAAUUAAUUAAAGAUUGUUAUUGAAAUCUGCAAUCUCCAAAUCUAUUUCUCGAAGAAGGCAACGGUUCCAGAUAUUGUUGGCGAUUUCUCAUAUUACAUAAUCCCAGUCUACUGAAAUUAUCUUCGUAUUCUGUUCUAUUAGUAAAUGGUUCAUUCCAGAGAGUGAAGGUUUCUGGAACUGUAUAUAUAUAAUUUUUCUAAUUAGUUUAGAAACGAUUUAGAUAUGGCUUAAAAAUAAGCUUAGAACAAAUUUAUAUACAACUUAUAAAUUAUUUUUAUGAACAGAAAAGGUAUAUAUAUUUACAUAUAUAACGAAUGAAAAAUCAUAAAUAUAAUGUUUGUCUUACCUGUCAAUAGGUUGAUAGUUUUAGCAGGUUCAAUAGUUGGUCUUUCAAUAGCUGAAUAUCUAAAUCUAGUUGGAUCUCUGUAAGCGUUUCUUAGAUCAGUAAUUGCUGGUUUGAUAGGAGCACCGAUAGGAGAAUCAACAGCUGCCAUAAGUGUUCUAUAAUGGGCUAUAGUUUCACAGGUACUGUUCAACAAAGUCGUCGUGAGAUUUGCCAUUUCAUGAUUAACAGCUAUCAAUUCAUCUUGAAGUCUUCGUUCUUUAUUGGCCAGCUGAACGUAUCUUGAGAGAUAUAGAAAAAAGAAAAAUCAAGUUAGACGUAUCUUUGCGAGUAUUGUUCCAAUUUGUUUGGCUCGACUGACGAGCAAAGAAGUUCUUGCGGAUUGGUGGACGUUAACUUUAGAAGUACCUGAUCCUGCGACUGAUUGCACGUCUUCUUCUGAACUCGACCUGUCGUCGUGGUGAAAAUAGGUCUUGUCGUUUCUUGAAUGCAUCCGCAAUCCAGACGGGUGAUCGUCGUCAUCGUGCCGCACGGUUCCAGACUCUAAAAUUAAACGCGGAAUUUCGAAGGGAACUCUAUCGGAGGGAUAUAUGUCUGAGCUAGGAAUUGAAAUUAAUAAAUAGUAUAUUCGUUCUGGA